rnacentral:rRNA from 1 species
AGAGUUUGAUCCUGGCUCAGGACGAACGCUGGCGGCACGCUUAACACAUGCAAGUCGAACGAGAGAAGAGGAGCCUGCCUUUCUGAUCUAGUGGCGGACGGGUGAGUAACACGUGAGCAAUCUGCCUUUCAGAGGGGGAUACCGAUUGGAAACGAUCGUUAAUACCGCAUAACAUAAUUGAACCGCAUGAUUUGAUUAUCAAAGAUUUAUCGCUGAAAGAUGAGCUCGCGUCUGAUUAGCUAGUUGGUAAGGUAACGGCUUACCAAGGCGACGAUCAGUAGCCGGACUGAGAGGUUGAUCGGCCACAUUGGGACUGAGACACGGCCCAGACUCCUACGGGAGGCAGCAGUGGGGAAUAUUGCACAAUGGAGGAAACUCUGAUGCAGCGAUGCCGCGUGAGGGAAGAAGGUUUUAGGAUUGUAAACCUCUGUCUUCAGGGACGAAAAAAGACGGUACCUGAGGAGGAAGCUCCGGCUAACUACGUGCCAGCAGCCGCGGUAAUACGUAGGGAGCGAGCGUUGUCCGGAAUUACUGGGUGUAAAGGGAGCGUAGGCGGGAUCGCAAGUCAGAUGUGAAAACUAUGGGCUUAACCCAUAAACUGCAUUUGAAACUGUGGUUCUUGAGUGAAGUAGAGGUAAGCGGAAUUCCUAGUGUAGCGGUGAAAUGCGUAGAUAUUAGGAGGAACAUCAGUGGCGAAGGCGGCUUACUGGGCUUUAACUGACGCUGAGGCUCGAAAGCGUGGGGAGCAAACAGGAUUAGAUACCCUGGUAGUCCACGCCGUAAACGAUGAUUACUAGGUGUGGGGGGACUGACCCCUUCCGUGCCGCAGCAAACGCAAUAAGUAAUCCACCUGGGGAGUACGACCGCAAGGUUGAAACUCAAAGGAAUUGACGGGGGCCCGCACAAGCAGUGGAGUAUGUGGAUUAAUUCGAAGCAACGCGAAGAACCUUACCAGGUCUUGACAUCGUAUGCAUAGCUCAGAGAUGAGUGAAAUCUCUUCGGAGACAUAUAGACAGGUGGUGCAUGGUUGUCGUCAGCUCGUGUCGUGAGAUGUUGGGUUAAGUCCCGCAACGAGCGCAACCCUUACUGUUAGUUGCUACGCAAGAGCACUCUAGCAGGACUGCCGUUGACAAAACGGAGGAAGGUGGGGAUGACGUCAAAUCAUCAUGCCCCUUAUGACCUGGGCCUCACACGUACUACAAUGGCUGUCAACAGAGGGAAGCAAAGCCGCGAGGUGGAGCGAACCCCUAAAAGCAGUCUUAGUUCGGAUUGUAGGCUGCAACCCGCCUACAUGAAGUCGGAAUUGCUAGUAAUCGCAGAUCAGCAUGCUGCGGUGAAUACGUUCCCGGGCCUUGUACACACCGCCCGUCACGCCAUGGGAGUCGGUAACACCCGAAGCCUGUAGUCUAACCGCAAGGAGGACGCAGUCGAAGGUGGGAUUGAUGACUGGGGUGAAGUCGUAACAAGGUA